rnacentral:rRNA from 1 species
UACGAAGGGGGCUAGCGUUGCUCGGAAUCACUGGGCGUAAAGCGCACGUAGGCGGCUUCUUAAGUCAGGGGUGAAAUCCUGGAGCUCAACUCCAGAACUGCCUUUGAUACUGAGGAUCUUGAGUUCGGGAGAGGUGAGUGGAACUGCGAGUGUAGAGGUGAAAUUCGUAGAUAUUCGCAAGAACACCAGUGGCGAAGGCGGCUCACUGGCCCGAGUACUGACGCUGAGGAGCGAAAGCGUGGGGAGCGAACAGG